rnacentral:rRNA from 1 species
AACGCGAAGAACCUUACCAAGGUUUGACAUGCAGGGAAAAGCCGUAGAGAUAUGGUGUCCGUAAGGGCCCUGCACAGGUGCUGCAUGGCUGUCGUCAGCUCGUGCCGUGAGGUGUUUGGUUAAGUCCAGCAACGAGCGCAACCCUUAUCAUUAGUUGCCAAUACGUUAAGGUGGGGACUCUAAUGAGACUGCCUAGGUUAACUAGGAGGAAGGUGAGGAUGAUGUCAAGUCCGCAUGGCCUUUAUGUCCAGGGCUACACACGUGCUACAAUGGUCGGUACAGAGGGCUGCAAGACCGUAAGGUGGAGCAAAUCCCAGAAAACCGAUCUCAGUUCAGAUUGUGGUCUGCAACUCGACCACAUGAAGUCGGAAUUGCUAGUAAUGGCGUGUCAGCUACAACGCCGUGAAUACGUUCCCGGGCCUUGUACACACCGCAUAC